CUAGAGAAAAAGUGCCAAACUGAAGAGUAUGUGAAAUUGCUCACCUCGAUGGGGGAGGGGCCCCAGGAGUGGAAUCCUCAGGAGAGAAGACUCUGGCUCGGGAGCAGUGAGGGGCUCUCCGUCUGGAGACAUCGAAGAGAGAAGGUGGAUAAAGACUUUCUCCUGAGGGUUACCCACUUUUCCUGCUGGUGACUGGAAAUCUUUCCCCCCAACACUUCCCGAUUGAAGGGACUUUCCAAAGAGAAACCUGAGCAGACUUUACCUCAGUUCCUGUUGCCCAGGGGAUGAACAGGGCUCACUACUUCCAGGGUUGGAUGAAGAAUUGCAGUAGACUUUGAUGAUCAGGUGGGAGUUUGUUAAUCCCUGAGGAAUGAGUUCAGGGUCAGUUGUUACAAGAAGAAGACUUGGAUCUCAGCAAGCUGUUUUUUUUGGGUCAUGGGAUAAAAAGUCUGAGUACUGUGGUUGGACAGCUGUGUGGCACAGAGAACUAAAGCCCAUGCACAGGUGGGGAGAAGGAAUGAAGAAAAUGGUGCAAAUAUAACGGAAAGUCUGAGAGAAACUGAAAAUUCUGAUUUGUGUAAGAUGUAUUCCUGAAUGUACUUCUGAUUGUGAUAUCAAGAAUUGUGAAGAGUACUCCAGAUGUUGGGCUUACCAGAGAAGAAUGUGAUGAAAAUAAAGCAUCCUAGAUUCAUACUGUAUUCCUCUU
rnacentral:lncRNA from 1 species